UACGUAGGGUGCGAGCGUUAAUCGGAAUUACUGGGCGUAAAGCGUGCGCAGGCGGUUCGUUGUGUCGGCGGUGAAAGCCCCGGGCUUAACCUGGGAAUGGCCGUUGAAACUGGCGAACUGGAGUGUGGCAGAGGGGGGUGGAAUUCCGCGUGUAGCAGUGAAAUGCGUAGAGAUGCGGAGGAACACCAGUGGCGAAGGCGGCUUUUUGGUCUGUAACUGACGCUGAGGCGCGAAAGCGUGGGGAGCAAACAGG
rnacentral:rRNA from 1 species